rnacentral:rRNA from 1 species
UAGGGAAUCUUCGUCAAUGGACGAAAGUCUGACCGAGCAACGCCGCGUGAGUGAAGAAGGUUUUCGGAUCGUAAAACUCUGUUGUUAGAGAAGAACAAGGACGUUAGUAACUGAACGUCCUCUGACGGUAUCUAACCAGAAAGCCACGGCUAACUACGUGCCAGCAGCCGCGGUAAUACGUAGGUGGCAAGCGUUGUCCGGAUCUAUUGGGCGUAAAGCGAGCGCAGGCAGUUUCUUAAGUCUGAUGUGAAAGCCCCCGGCUCAACCGGGGAGGGUCAUUGAAAACAGGGAGACUUGAGUGCAGAAGAGGAGAGUGGAAUUCCAUGUGUAGCGGUAAAAUGCGUAGAUAUAUGGAGGAACACCAGUGGCGAAGGCGGCUCACUGGUCUGUAAAUGACGCUGAGGCUCGAAAGCGUGGGGAGCAAACAGG